GGGCGUUUGGCAUAGCGGUUGUGCAUCUGGCUUUUAACCAGACUUAGAUAGGUUCGACUCCUAUAGCGCCCACCA
rnacentral:tRNA from 1 species